CCUACGGGAGGCAGCAGUGGGGAAUAUUGCACAAUGGACGAAACCCUGAUGCAGCGACGCCGCGUGAGUGAAGAAGUAUUUCGGUAUGUAAAGCUCUAUCAGCAGGGAAGAAAAUGACGGUACCUGAUUAAGAAGCCCCGGCUAACUACGUGCCAGCAGCCGCGGUAAUACGUAGGGGGCGAGCGUUAUCCGGAUUUACGGGGUGUAAAGGGGGCGUAGACGGCAGCACAAGUCUGGAGUGAAAUGGCGGGGCUUAACCCCGAAACUGCUUUGGAAACUGUGCAGCUAGAGUGCAGGAGAGGUAAGUGGAAUUCGUGGUGUAGCGGUGAAAUGCGUAGAUAUUAGGAGGAACACCAGUGGCGAAGGCAGCUUACUGAACUGUAACUGACGUUGAGGCUCGAAAGCGUGGGGAGCAAACAGGAUUAGAUACCCGUGUAGUC
rnacentral:rRNA from 1 species